rnacentral:rRNA from 1 species
ACGCUCGACACCUACGGGAGGCAGCAGUGAGGAAUAUUGGUCAAUGGGCGCAGGCCUGAACCAGCCAAGUAGCGUGAAGGAUGACUGCCCUAUGGGUUGUAAACUUCUUUUAUAUGGGAAUAAAGUUUUCCACGUGUGGAAUUUUGUAUGUACCAUAUGAAUAAGGAUCGGCUAACUCCGUGCCAGUAGCCGGGUAAGUCUGAGCGGGCUGGCAAGGC